rfam:Candidatus Muproteobacteria bacterium RIFCSPHIGHO2_01_FTLL_65_16 rifcsphigho2_01_scaffold_11944, whole genome shotgun sequence.
GGAGCGGUAGUUCAGUUGGUUAGAAUACCGGCCUGUCACGCCGGGGGUCACGGGUUCGAGCCCCGUCCGCUCCG